AUAACAGUUAGAAAUGACUGCUAAUACCGCAUAAAACAGCAGAGUCGCAUGACUCAACUGUCAAAGAUUUAUCGGUGUAAGAUGGACCCGCGUCUGAUUAGCUUGUUGGUGGGGUAACGGCCUACCAAGGCGACGAUCAGUAGCCGGCCUGAGAGGGUGAACGGCCACAUUGGGACUGAGACACGGCCCAAACUCCUACGGGAGGCAGCAGUGGGGAAUAUUGGACAAUGGGCGAAAGCCUGAUCCAGCGACGCCGCGUGAGCGAUGAAGUAUUUCGGUAUGUAAAGCUCUAUCAGCAGGGAAGAAAACGACGGUACCUGACUAAGAAGCCCCGGCUAACUACGUGCCAGCAGCCGCGGUAAUACGUAGGGGGCAAGCGUUAUCCGGAUUUACUGGGUGUAAAGGGAGCGUAGACGGCAUCACAAGUCAGAAGUGAAAAUCCGGGGCUCAACCCCGGAACUGCUUUUGAAACUGUGGAGCUGGAGUGCAGGAGAGGUAAGCGGAAUUCCUAGUGUAGCGGUGAAAUGCGUAGAUAUUAGGAGGAACACCAGUGGCGAAGGCGGCUUACUGGACUGUAACUGACGUUGAGGCUCGAAAGCGUGGGGAGCAAACAGGAUUAGAUACCCUGGUAGUCCACGCCGUAAAC
rnacentral:rRNA from 1 species